GCAAACUUUCAGAAAGCAGUGGAUACUGUAUUUAUUUUCACAAAUACUGUCUACAAUCCAAAGCACUGAGGCAAAAAAAAAGACAAAAUAUGGUCUGCCUGACAAAUGACUAAAAUGAUAUAACUACAGUUAACAAAUUUGGAAACACAAAGGUCCUGCA